rnacentral:rRNA from 1 species
GACGAACGCUGGCGGCGUGCCUAACACAUGCAAGUCGAGCGAGAGGAGUUCUUCGGAAUGAAUCUAGCGGCGGACGGGUGAGUAACACGUGGGCAACCUACCUUAUAGAGGGGAAUAGCCUUCCGAAAGGAAGAUUAAUACCGCAUAACAUUGCAGUUUCGCAUGAAACAGUAAUUAAAGGAGAAAUCCGCUAUAAGAUGGGCCCGCGGCGCAUUAGCUAGUUGGUGAGGUAAAGGCUCACCAAGGCGACGAUGCGUAGCCGACCUGAGAGGGUGAUCGGCCACAUUGGGACUGAGACACGGCCCAGACUCCUACGGGAGGCUG